rnacentral:rRNA from 1 species
UACGUAGGGGCCGAGCGUUGUCCGGAGUUAUUGGGCGUAAAGCGCGCGCAGGCGGCCUCGCGCGCCCGACGUGAAAGCCCCCGGCUUAACCGGGGAGGGUCGUUGGGGACGGCGGGGCUUGAGGGCGGGAGAGGUCGGUGGAAUUCCCGGUGUAGUGGUGAAAUGCGUAGAGAUCGGGAGGAACACCUGUGGCGAAGGCGGCAUCCUGGACCGGCAUUGACGCUGAGGCGCGAAAGCCAGGGGAGCAAACGGG